AGAGUUUGAUCCUGGCUCAGAUUGAACGCUGGCGGCAGGCUUAACACAUGCAAGUCGAGCGGUAACAGAGAGUAGUUUACUAUUCUGCUGACGAGCGGCGGACGGGUGAGUAAUGCCUAGGAAUCUGCCUAGUAGUGGGGGAUAACUUGCCGAAAGGUAAGCUAAUACCGCAUACGUCCUACGGGAGAAAGCAGGGGACUCUUCGGAGCCUUGCGCUAUUAGAUGAGCCUAGGUCGGAUUAGUUAGUUGGUGAGGUAAUGGCUCACCAAGACUGCGAUCCGUAACUGGUCUGAGAGGAUGAUCAGUCACACUGGAACUGAGACACGGUCCAGACUCCUACGGGAGGCAGCAGUGGGGAAUAUUGGACAAUGGGGGAAACCCUGAUCCAGCCAUGCCGCGUGUGUGAAGAAGGUCUUAGGAUUGUAAAGCACUUUAAGUUGGGAGGAAGGGCAGUUAACUAAUACUUGACUGUUUUGACGUUACCGACAGAAUAAGCACCGGCUAACUUCGUGCCAGCAGCCGCGGUAAUACGAAGGGUGUAAGCGUUAAUCGGAAUUACUGGGCGUAAAGCGCGCGUAGGUGGUUCGUUAAGUUAGGAGUGAAAGCCCCGGGCUCAACCUGGGAAUUGCUUCUAAAACUGGCGAGCUAGAGUAUGGUAGAGAGUGGUGGAAUUUCCUGUGUAGCGGUGAAAUGCGUAGAU
rnacentral:rRNA from 1 species